UACGGAGGAGGCAAGCGUUAUCCGGAAUUAUUGGGCGUAAAGCGUCCGUAGAUGGUCGCUUCAAGUCUGCGGUUAAAGACUGGGGCUUAACCCUGGAAAGGCCGUGGAAACUGAACAGCUAGAGAAAGGUAGGGGUAGAGGGAAUUCCCAGUGUAGCGGUGAAAUGCGUAGAGAUUGGGAAGAACAUCAGUGGCGAAAGCGCUCUACUGGACCUUAUCUGACAUUGAGGGACGAAAGCUAGGGGAGCGAAUGGG
rnacentral:rRNA from 1 species